UACAGGGGGUGCAAACGUUGCUCGGAAUUAUUGGGCGUAAAGCGCGCGUAGGCGGCUAUUUAAGUCGGAUGUGAAAGCCCUUGGCUCAACUGAGGAAGUGCACCCGAAACUGAAUGGCUUGAGUACCAAAGAGGGUCGCGGAAUUCCCGGUGUAGAGGUGAAAUUCGUAGAUAUCGGGAGGAACACCGGUGGCGAAGGCGGCGAUCUGGGUCGAUACUGACGCUGAGGUGCGAAAGCGUGGGGAGCAAACAGG
rnacentral:rRNA from 1 species